rnacentral:tRNA from 1 species
AAGAUUUUAAGUUAAAUAAACUAGAAGCCUUCAAAGCUUAAAAUAAAAUUACUUUUAAAUCUUA